rnacentral:rRNA from 1 species
AUUGAACGCUGGCGGCGGGCUUAACACAUGCAAGUCGAGCGGAGAUGAGGUGCUUGCACCUUAUCUUAGCGGCGGACGGGUGAGUAAUGCUUAGGAAUCUGCCUAUUAGUGGGGGACAACAUUCCGAAAGGAAUGCUAAUACCGCAUACGUCCUACGGGAGAAAGCAGGGGAUCACUUGUGACCUUGCGCUAAUAGAUGAGCCUAAGUCGGAUUAGCUAGUUGGUGGGGUAAAGGCCUACCAAGGCGACGAUCUGUAGCAGGUCUGAGAGGAUUAUCCGCAACACUGGGACUGAGACACGGCCCAGACUCCUACGGGAGGCAGCAGUGGGGAAUAUUGGACAAGGGGGGGAACCCUGAUCCAGCCAUGCCGCGUGUGUGAAGAAGGCCUUAUGGUUGUAAAGCACUUUAAGCGAGGAGGAGGCUCUUUUGGUUAAUACCCAAGAUGAGUGGACGUUACUCGCAGAAUACGCACCGGCUAACUCUGUGCCAGCCGCCGCCGUAA